GCCGGAGUGGUGGAAUGGCAGACACGAUGGACUCAAAAUCCAUUGUUCGCAAGAACAUGUGGGUUCGACUCCCACCUCCGGUA
rnacentral:tRNA from 1 species